UUAUUUACCACGCAUUAGCGCAUAAUUUCAUUGGAGAGGAUUAUCAUAAAUAUGCAAGUUUAGGGUGUGUAUAAAUUACUUGCAUUUCGGUGGGUAAAAUUAAAAUUAGUCACGUUUUGAACUAGGCGGUUGCUUAUAUAUUAUAAAACUCCAGAGAAAAUACUACGCUAUUGUGUUUUUAUUUUUCCAAAAAUAAAGUAGUUAACCGAAAAAAAUGUGCAGUAUAUUUAUAAAAGACACAUUAAACCAAGCACAUCCUGAUGAAGAAGUUGUGACGGCAGAUGACGAUGAAGUUAAAAGUUCAUAAAAAAAUGACAAAGAUAGUUAACGCAGUGCAUAUUUAUGGCGCGGAAGACGAAUUUUCAAUUGUUUAUGUUUAGAAUAUUUAUUUAACACCUUUG